AAAUUGAAGAGUUUGAUCAUGGCUCAGAUUGAACGCUGGCGGCAGGCCUAACACAUGCAAGUCGAACGGUAACAGAAAGCAGCUUGCUGCUUUGCUGACGAGUGGCGGACGGGUGAGUAAUGUCUGGGAAACUGCCUGAUGGAGGGGGAUAACUACUGGAAACGGUAGCUAAUACCGCAUAACGUCGCAAGACCAAAGAGGGGGACCUUCGGGCCUCUUGCCAUCGGAUGUGCCCAGAUGGGAUUAGCUUGUUGGUGGGGUAACGGCUCACCAAGGCGACGAUCCCUAGCUGGUCUGAGAGGAUGACCAGCCACACUGGAACUGAGACACGGUCCAGACUCCUACGGGAGGCAGCAGUGGGGAAUAUUGCACAAUGGGCGCAAGCCUGAUGCAGCCAUGCCGCGUGUAUGAAGAAGGCCUCGGGUUGUAAAGUACUUUCAGCGGGGAGGAAGGGAGUAAAGUUAAUACCUUUGCUCAUUGACGUUACCCGCAGAAGAAGCACCGGCUAACUCCGUGCCAGCAGCCGCGGUAAUACGGAGGGUGCAAGCGUUAAUCGGAAUUACUGGGCGUAAAGCGCACGCAGGCGGUUUGUUAAGUCAGAUGUGAAAUCCCCGGGCUCAACCUGGGAACUGCAUCUGAUACUGGCAAGCUUGAGUCUCGUAGAGGGGGGUAGAAUUCCAGGUGUAGCGGUGAAAUGCGUAGAGAUCUGGAGGAAUACCGGUGGCGAAGGCGGCCCCCUGGACGAAGACUGACGCUCAGGUGCGAAAGCGUGGGGAGCAAACAGGAUUAGAUACCCUGGUAGUCCACGCCGUAAACGAUGUCGACUUGGAGGUUGUGCCCUUGAGGCGUGGCUUCCGGAGCUAACGCGUUAAGUCGACCGCCUGGGGAGUACGGCCGCAAGGUUAAAACUCAAAUGAAUUGACGGGGGCCCGCACAAGCGGUGGAGCAUGUGGUUUAAUUCGAUGCAACGCGAAGAACCUUACCUGGUCUUGACAUCCACGGAAGUUUUCAGAGAUGAGAAUGUGCCUUCGGGAACCGUGAGACAGGUGCUGCAUGGCUGUCGUCAGCUCGUGUUGUGAAAUGUUGGGUUAAGUCCCGCAACGAGCGCAACCCUUAUCCUUUGUUGCCAGCGGUCCGGCCGGGAACUCAAAGGAGACUGCCAGUGAUAAACUGGAGGAAGGUGGGGAUGACGUCAAGUCAUCAUGGCCCUUACGACCAGGGCUACACACGUGCUACAAUGGCGCAUACAAAGAGAAGCGACCUCGCGAGAGCAAGCGGACCUCAUAAAGUGCGUCGUAGUCCGGAUUGGAGUCUGCAACUCGACUCCAUGAAGUCGGAAUCGCUAGUAAUCGUGGAUCAGAAUGCCACGGUGAAUACGUUCCCGGGCCUUGUACACACCGCCCGUCACACCAUGGGAGUGGGUUGCAAAAGAAGUAGGUAGCUUAACCUUCGGGAGGGCGCUUACCACUUUGUGAUUCAUGACUGGGGUGAAGUCGUAACAAGGUAACCGUAGGGGAACCUGCGGUUGGAUCACCUCCUUA
rnacentral:rRNA from 1 species